ACCAUCACGACCAUCACCACCAUCAUCAUCAUCAUCACCACUACUAACAUCAUCAUAACCAGCAGCAACUUCAUCAUCAUCAUCAUCAUUAUCAUCAUCCUCAUCCUCAUCAUUAUCAUCAUCAUCAUCAUCAUCAUCAUCAUCAUCGUCAUCAUCAUCAUCAUCAUCAUCAUCAUCAUCACCACCACCACCACCACCACCAUCACCACCACCACCAUCUUCAUCAUCACCAUCAUCAUCAUCACCACUACUUACAUCAUCAUCAUCAGCAGCAACUUCAUCAUCAUCAUCAUCCUCAUCAUCAUCAUCAACAUCAUCAUGAAGGUGUUAUUUUAACUGUCGAAUAUAUCGCAAUUGUUUUACAUGAAUAAUUUCACUGUUUGUUUAUAUCCUCAACAAGAUGUAGUGAUUUGUGAUGACGUGGUGACGUUAUUCAUGUAUCGAGUAGAAAUGAUUUGGGCAGAGCCAGAUGGCCAGCCUCUGUAAACUGUAAAAUUCAGUGUGUGUGUUUAUUCUAUGACUCGUAAUAGGGUAUACAUGGGACGUUUAGUAAAUACAAAACAAUAUUGAUUCAAUUGAAACUACAUGUAUUUGGCCAUAUCCUGGGAAAAAUACAUUUAAGAAUGUACCCCCUUUGAAUCCUAUAUCGAUGAUGUAGAACUACACUUGGAGACUGUUCCAACGCUACACUUUUCAAACUUGAAUAUCUCAGUAAUGAGUCAAGAUUUUGAUUUUAAAUAUUGUAUGUGUGAUCAUUUGACUACAUGCUGUGCAAGCUCACGAUAAAAUCAUUCAUCCGUGACGAUGGGACACUUAAGCACGUGGGGUUUUAAGCACGUGGUUACCCGAUCAUCUUGUCCGUUGAAAUCAUGGGUUUUGGAAUAGAAGCCGAGUUUGAGACCGUAUUCAUUGGUCGAACAGAUGAGCGUCGAAAUUUACAAACAUCAUGGAACACUAAGUGAAUGUUUGGAAUUUACGGGCUGAGAACUGUUGGUACUUCAAGGUUAGCGAAGGAGUACCUAAUAAGUGUCAUAACACAGUAUUAUGAAUUGGUGUAUGUUAAUUUUAAAGAGAUAAGUGACAUUACACAGAUGUACGUCAAUAUGUGCGCGCAAUUGAAACUUGUUAUUGAAUCACAAAUGAACAACAGCGCAGUUUCACCCAGUAAACAAGAAUAUGUAUUAUUUGUUGACAAUGGGGAAUAUUUCCUUGACAAAGAAAGUGCAAUAAGAGACCGUCUUCAAAACGUAUGCGUUGAACUUAUAAAAUUGGACAAUGUCAAAGUUGUACUGACUUCAACCACAACGUUUCAUCUGGUAUAUUUACGGCAUGUUUACAAUUUGUGUGAACUUCAUCCAUUAAAACCAUCUGAGUUGUUGAGAGCAGAUGCCCCUGGCGUCGAUUAAGGCGAAUAUUUGGACGCAGUUGUAGAAUUCAGUGAAGGGUUACCACUUCUGAUUCUCAUGAUCGCGUCUGAGCUGCGCGAGAACAGAGGUAUGCUUACGCUAAAGACAUGACGCAGUUGCUAGCGGAAUGCAGAGUGCCGAUAUUGAGUCGAGAGUUCUACCCGGAGGAGGACAGAGUGUUUAUCUCGAGAAGUCCUUGGCUAUAUCGACUGUCUCCGGGAAGCAAUGCAGACGUAUUGCUAAAGAAUCGCUGAUCAGUUAAGGAAUCACACUAGCGAAGUUAGG